rnacentral:snoRNA from 1 species
AAUCCAUGGUACAGACAUUUUCUUAAAAGUUCUUUAAGACGUUUCCAUGUUUCAUAUAAAGAUUCCUCGUCCUCUUGUUGGAAAGAAUUAAUUUCAGUUAUUAGUUU